rnacentral:ribozyme from 1 species
CUACGGACUUGAUUGUAUUGAGCCUUGGUAUGGAAACCUGCUAAGUGGUAACUUCCAAAUUCAGAGAAACCCUGGAAUUAAAAAAGGGUAAUCCUGAGCCAAAUCCGUGUUUUGAGAAGGGAUUCUCGAACUAGAAU